GUCCACGCCCUAAACGAUGUCGACUGGUUGUUGGGGGUUUGACACUCUCAGUAACGAAGCUAACGCGUGAAGUCGACCGCCUGGGGAGUACGGCCGCAAGGUUAAAACUCAAAGGAAUUGACGGGGACCCGCACAAGCGGUGGAUUAUGUGGAUUAAUUCGAUGCAACGCGAAAAACCUUACCUACCCUUGACAUGUCCGAGAGCCCGCAGAGAUGUGGGUGUGCCCGAAAGUGAAUCGGAACACAGGUGCUGCAUGGCUGUCGU
rnacentral:rRNA from 1 species